rnacentral:lncRNA from 1 species
GCGGCCCUCCACAGCAGCCGAACUCCUUGUAGUUGUCACCGUGGACGCGGGCUGCAGGGAGCCCCGGACGCCCACCCCGGGUUCCGGCCUCACCCUCAGGCUGACGCAGCAUGCCCAGCGGGGAGCAGCAGGACGGGAUCUCCUUGCUGGCGUGCCUGCAUCCAGCUGUUUACUGCACGUUAAUCCUGAAUCUGGGGGGCCAUCUGUUUGAAAGAUGCUAUUCCAAGGUGGCCCCCUUGUGUGGAGGCCCAGGGAUGAUGACUCAAGGCUUUGGUUCGGGCAGAUCUGAAGGACCUAUCGGUUAUUUUGUCUACACAGAGUGAAGGUUACAAUAAGCUGAUGUCAUUGUGACGGCCAUUGGUCUGUUCCCGUCCGAAAGAAUUCAUUUUCAGCAGUGGGGGGUAUCUGUUAGUUCUUUGUUUAUCUUGCAGCUGAAUUCUCAGCCAGGUCCAUGGAAUUUUGAGUCACCAACUUGUGUGCAAUAAUCCAGAGGAUUAAAGAAUUCUUUUUUUCUUCUUGAUACAAAAAGGUAUUUUUUAAAAAUUCACAGAGGAGAAACAUAAUUUAAUUUUUGAAUAUUUUCUUUAACAUUUUCAAAUAUAUGUGAAAGAGAGAGGGCUUGGAUGGCUUCAACAAUUGAAACAAAUGCAGCAUCUCUCAUAUUAAAAGUUUACAUAAAAUGUAAGCACAAUACUACAAAUGCUAAUGUAAUUUAUUCUAAUUGAGGAAUUACUCUGAUUCACUAUAACUGUGUAUAACUAUAUAUAAAUUAAUGGUAUUUUUAAAAGAGUGUGGUAAAAAGAUAUAUAAAUAGGAAACACUAGAAAUGAUAAUAUGAUAUUUAUCUAAUGACUAUUUGAUGUGUCGGAACAUUUUGAUUCUGAAUAAAUAUGAGUUUAGUGUAUCAGUAAUAUAUAAAUAUAGCAUCAUCAAAUAUAGCAAAACUAAUAUAAUUCAAAUAUAAUAUAUGAUUAUAUUAUAUACAAUUAUAUAUUUUAUAUAUAAUAUAUAAUUACAUUAUAUAGAAUUAUAUAUUUUAUAUAUAAUAUAUAAUUAUAUUAUAUACAAUUAUAUAUUUUAUGUAUAAUAUAUAAUUAUAAAUGUAUAAUUAUUAUAAGAAAUAAUUAUAUAUCAUUAUAUGGUAUAUAAUAUAAUAAUUAUAUAAUAACAUAUAAUUAUAAUAUAAUUCAAAUAUAGGUCAAAUUAAAUAUAGUCAAAUUAAUACUUUGAUAACAAACUGAUUGAAAAUAAAAACAAGUCUCAGAGGCUUAAAAUACAAAAGAAUAUUUCUCUGCCACGUUUGGUGAGCAGAAUCAAUUACUACCUUAAUAGCAUUAUAUUUAUUAAUGAAUAGCCUAAAUAAUUUUCUUUCAUUUUAGAAUUACUAUUGCAUUUCAACUUUCUUAUUCAGAAACAAUAAAUUAGCAUGGCAGAGAUGGCUAAUUGCCUCCUGGUUUGGGGGCAUUGGUCUGGACAUUCUCCGUUUUCUUAAUAACAAGACCCCAAUUUUAUUAACACUUAUUUAUUAAGGGCUAAGCAUGACUGUGUGCUCAGCUACGUUUCCUGCCUCUCUUGCAGUUCACAGUGGCCACACGAUACAGUUCUGGUCAAGUGAGACUUCUGGGAAAGCCUUUACAAGUGAACAGAUUUGUCUAGAUUGUCCCUUUUGCCCUUUGCCAUAGUCUUUCUUUGAGCCAGGAAUGUGGAUGUGAUGGCUUGAGUGCCAGUAGCCAUCUUGCACACAUGACACAAAAGCUCACACCCUGUGGACUAUGGAUGGCUACAAAACCCCUAGAAAGGAGAUUUAGAAUGAACUAGAGUCCCUAAUAACAUCUAUUGCUUAUUUUCUUGUUAGUGAGACAUGAACAUGUAUCUUCUAUGAACAACUGUUAUGGAAUUUUCUGUUAAAUACAGCCAAACGCAAUUUCCACAUGAUACAAUUAAGAUAAGGAAUAAACUACUAAGAUGAUAAAAAACA